UAGCUCUCACCGUGGUUUACUGCAGAGGUCGAAGACGCGAGAGGAAUGCGCAUGCGCAGUGUCACGUAAAAGACUUGACUUCCGACUUCCUGAUGGAGCUACCACACAGAUGGACCAUCUUCUAAAGGAUUUCCGAUGUACCUCAGGAUCCUGGAGAAACCAGAAAGGAACAGGAGACCAGACCAACCCAAUCUCACUGUCUUGCUCAAGCCCAGUAUUUACUGGCAGCUGUUUUAUGAGAUGGCGCCAUUCCCAUCCCGCCAUCGCCGAAAACCUUGGUGGACUUUUUGAAAUAUGUUUAUCAUUACAUUGAAGAGGACUGGACUAAUGACUGAGCCUUGGGGUGGAACCAUUAUCAAUGUCAACAGUUUCAGAAAAAUCUCCCCCAACUCUCACCUGAAUUGAUGUAUGGCUGAGGAAAUCCUUUAUGCAAUAAAACAUUCUGCCAUUAAUACCUGCAUCAGAUGGACCAUCAUGCUAGUACAGCAUGUUUAAAUGCCACAUCACUAAAGUUAAAACCAGGACAGUCCACAGUGCACAAACAUCAACAUUGACUGGGACCAACUCUGGCUCUGCCUGCAAAGUGAAUAUAUUCGUCACCUACCAGAUUUACACAAAAAGAUGCUUGUUUUUUUACUAUCCCAUAGAGACCAUUUGAAUAAAUGAUUAUAAUGUAUAUACACCCUUGAAUCCAAUAUACCACUACUAGAAAUUACAGCCUCCAAAAUUACCCAGACGUUGAAUCAUUCAGAAGUUCAUUGAGAAGAAGUCGCAACAGAAAUGUUCAUAAGCUUCACAAUGUAAAUGUUUAUUGUUCUAGUUGUCAUACAAGGGUCAGUAAGUAACUGCGAUUAUUUAACUAAAUAUGAAUCUAAACUUUUAUAAACUUUUUGAAAAUGAUCAAAGGUAAAAAAAACUGUUGUCUUAGUCUAAGUAUGCUAUCUAUAUUAGAGCUUUACCGAUCGCCAAAUUGGCCAGUCUGAUAUAUCGGCCUAUAUUAGUCUAUUGCAGAUUUAUCUGUGUUUGUAUCUGAUAAGUAACACAGUAAGUGUAAGAAAUUACAGUACAGAAAUGAGGUCUUUGAGGUCACUUAGAAACAAUGUCACCUUUACAUAGUUUGUCCAUCAGACACUGACAAGUAGAUUUUCCAACUGUAAAAUGUCCCACUUAGAAUAUAUCUUGGUCUCAAUUAGAGAAAUCUAUUUCAAGAUUGUUGUUUAUGUUUUGUUUUAAAAAAAUGGCUGAUAUAUUGUCAUCAGGUCUCUCCCAAAUAUCGAUAUCAGUAUCGGCCUCAAAAAUCCAAUAUCGGUCGGGCUAUAAUCUACAUUCACUUAAUUGUAUUUAUCGUGGCAAUUGGGUGAUGACGUAAUUUCCCUUUUAAAAAUCAUUCACAGCAGCAGAAGCAGUCCUAUUUACUUUAACUGAAUGUGAAUAUUGUCAGCUGUGAUAGGCCUUAGCUGUCACAUCCAGGUUGUUUCAAAGAAGGUAGCUCUGUUGUAUAUAUGUACCACUCACACAUUUUGUUUUAUUGUACAAAUAAAACACCAAAGAUGACAAUGGCAACACAGAUUUUGCAGUGGAUUAAGGGGUAAAUCUUUCCACUACGUCUGACGUGAAACUCUGGGAACGCUGACAUCAAAGGUGGCCCACAUUAGCAGUGAUCAGUCGACUGCAAACGCACUGAAUGGGAUAUUUAUUUCAAGUCCAAGACAGAAUAUAGCAAAAAUGCCUUAUCUCUAAAGGCUAAGAAGUCCUUAAAAGCAAGAGAAAUAGUAAGCGAACUGUGUAAGUGAAUAUGUGAGGUUAAUUUAGGAGAAAAAAUUGUAAAAUCUGAGAAGACAAAUAUUAACUGUGAUAAGUAGAUAGAUAAGUAAGUAAGUAGAUAAUACCCAUAUCACGUUUAUUUGUUUGUUAAUUUAUUAUUUUAUUUCCCAUAUAGGGACAAAGCAGAAAAUACAUUAUAAUGUUGGACACAUACCUGCGCAAUGAGUUCAGAAGGUUCAACUGUAAUAUAAGACACAAUGCCACAAGGGGGCAGCAACACACCAUGCAUGCAGAGUCUACAUGAUGUGAACUGGACAUUUUAAUUAAUUAAUUAUUUUAAUUCUGCCUGUAGAGCACAGCACUGUAGUGUUGUAGGCUACAUACUGUGCGAGAAAAUGUAUGUAAAAUAUGUUGCAUGCAAGAUUAAACAUAAAAACACAUGCAGAAGUAAAACUGAGAAAAAUGACCUAAAAUCAUUUGGGCUCCAAUAGGACAGUAACGAGAUUAGCCUCUAUUCAGGUGUUACAUAGCCUAGAUAUUUUAAACUGAAAGCAUUUUUCAUUAUUCAACUAAGGCAUGCAUCAGUAAAACCCAGCAGUAUUGGUAUAGGUAAGGCCUGUCAGCCAUAAAGAAUUACAGCUGCAAAUGCAAAGAAUUAUGGUUUUGUGGCUGCAGCCUUCAUUUUUCAGUCAGCAAGGUGGUGGGUGGAAAGCUAAGGAUGCAUGAUAAAUGAAUGCCACCGUGUGUAGAAUUUAAACGCGUUUAUAGACUAUUCACUGACACAUUUAAGUGUUUAUUUUAUGCAUACAUGCACAAAAAUGAAUUCAAGUGUGAUGGUAGCUUAUAAGGCCGCCACAGACCACGGAAUCAAUAACAAAUAUUUCGUAUGUUAUAAUGCUUUUUUCGCUUUAACUUUACCCAUAUCAUAAAGUGAGCAACUCCCUCACAUUAAAACGAAAUUCCCAUGAGAUCGUGUAAUUGUGGCCGUGACCUGCACCUUGCAGUGACCACGAAGCUCCAAACUGACAAUCAAUUCAAGCGAGACAAGCAAUCACAUUUCCAACAGCAUUCAUUAAGGUCUAUGCAUUGCGACUUAAUACACAUUACCGUCUUGCAUCAUGUGGAUAUAUUUCCACCAUCUCUAAAUUGAUCUCCUAAAUUAAUAGUAAUUAUUUAUAUCACGCUGACUUUAAGUGGGCU